CCCGUGCUAGAUAUAGCUCACUUAG
rnacentral:tRNA from 1 species